UAAACAAUGUUUUAACAUUGUUUAGCUGAAUCACAGAAAAAAUCACAGUUUUCACAGAAUCAGCACAGUUUUCGUGUAAAUUACAAUUGUGGAGAACGAAUUCCCAAAUAAAGUGUUAUAGUAGAUAAGAAAAUUGUUUUCUGGCAGCCAUGCUACAAAAAGAUAGAGUGCACUCAACUAUUCCAGUUAGAACAGCAUACUGCAAAAAAUUCAUAAAUAAAUAUAUAUAAAUAUUUAUAUAUUUAAUGCAAUAAGAAUAGUCAAUAUCGUUUGACCAACUUAUGCACCAAAUGAACAAAAGAAAAAUGACGAAAUUUACUUUAGGAUUGUACUGCGUUUUUAGCAGCUAAUAUCCUGUAGAAAAAGUUAUAAGUGCCAGAAUUUAAACAGUUCCUGGAAAAGUGGUGUAACUGUUCUAUACCAGAUGAGUCUACAUUUCAAGGAAAUUACUUGUAAUACUGCUAUGAAAAGGUAAUAUCAGACAUCAAGAAUGAUUGUGAAAUUUCAGAUAUUUGAUAAAGCGUCGAUGAAAGCACGGAAAAAUGGGGACUUACAUGUCAAACUUAGUGGAAAAAUUGUCUACUUUUACAGCGUGUAAGCCACGCUUCAUCGCAUGCGGUGAGCUUGAGAAGACAAAUCAUGCAACUAUUACAUAUUUUGUAAAUGCUCUUUUGCAUAUAUUGUGGACAAAUAGCAUGAAGGAAGAGAAACUAUUAAUUUUAGUGAUAUCCUCCUUAUAUACUAAAAGCUAGAGCUCUGGGUUCUUUGUCCAAACAUGAUUAAUACCACAUGCCUGGCACAUGGAUUCCACCGAGAUGCAGCAGUUUGAAGUCGAUUAAUUGCCGCUAUGUAAAAAGUGUUCUGUGAGAUACCAUACAGAGUACGAAUCUACAGAGUCUAAUCCCUAUCUUUAUCCGAUUAUAACCUGAUGGUAAACCUAGAUAAAUGAAGGUGUUUUCUUUCAUAAAAUUUUUUUUAAUUGCAAAACAGUGAUCGACACGUUUUCAAGUGAAGACGCAUGUAGCAUUGCAAAAGCCCAAGAGAUGUUUGAAUCGAUAUCCCUUAAGAAAGACAGCUUUCAUACAAGAUCACUCUCACUGUAGUUGCGGGACGAUAACAAAGUUGAAAAUCCAGGGAUUGGAACUUUCUGAAUUUGCAAAUUCUUGCUGAUUUUACUACUUCAAUUGAGUCUCUUCUAGGGGAAAUAGGAAGUCGAACGGUUAGAAAAUUGAUUGCAGUCCUUAAAAACAUCCAAGUUUAGAGGUAAUUAAGCAAAUGAACAGAGUAAAUUGAUAGUGAAAACACACAAAAUUCCAGGAACUUGGAACUAUCUGCUGUUGCAAACUUCAAGUUCUGUCACUGGCCUCUUCAGACGUUGCGAAAUCCUUUUCUGUAUAGAAAAGUAUCCUGACCAACUAAAAUCCAAUUUUAAUACACAAAAAUCUAGAGAAGAACAUUCUUAUCAAUUGCUCAUAAACAUCGCCACAUAAUACGUCCCAGUAAUCGGAAAAUUAAGAUUGUCUUAUGUAAAUUUAAUAAUGUUUUUUACUUAUAUAAAAAGUGCAUACAAAUAAAUAAGUACAGUAUAUUUAUUUAUCACUGUCGUACGUUCUUAUUUACAUAUUUUAGCUAUUUAAGCAAUAUGUUACAGUUAUUCCUUGCAUAACAAAAGAUUUGAUUAACGGGCGAAAUUAAUUCCGGUAUUCCCUUUAUAUGUGCGGAAGAAGUUUUAAUAAAUUAGCCGCGUUAGUCAAGUGAUACUGUAUAAACAUAUUUGAAUGGCUUUUAACAUAUAUAUCCGUCCCCUAUUCAUAACCUAAACCGAACAUAAAAAUCAAACUUCUCAAUUAAAUAAAAUUUAUUUAUUUAUAACAGUUUUGUUUUGUAUUAAGAUCGGUUAGAUUAAAUUUUAAUUUAUAUAAUUUUACAUUUAAAAACUUUCACCUACAGUACGAUAUCUUCAAAAUUCCUGGCAUUCAAGGUGAAUAUCAUCACUAAAUAAGAUGCUAUAUUUCUUUGUACUAAUUAUCCAAUAGUAAUUAAUGUUUCAUUUUUACA